ACGAACGCUGGCGGCACGCUUAACACAUGCAAGUCGAACGAGAGAAGAGAAGCUUGCUUUUCUGAUCUAGUGGCGGACGGGUGAGUAACACGUGAGCAAUCUGCCUUUCAGAGGGGGAUACCGAUUGGAAACGAUCGUUAAUACCGCAUAACAUAAUUGAACCGCAUGAUUUGAUUAUCAAAGAUUUAUCGCUGAAAGAUGAGCUCGCGUCUGAUUAGCUAGUUGGUAAGGUAACGGCUUACCAAGGCGACGAUCAGUAGCCGGACUGAGAGGUUGAUCGGCCACAUUGGGACUGAGACACGGCCCAGACUCCUACGGGAGGCAGCAGUGGGGAAUAUUGCACAAUGGAGGAAACUCUGAUGCAGCGAUGCCGCGUGAGGGAAGAAGGUUUUAGGAUUGUAAACCUCUGUCUUCAGGGACGAAAAAUGACGGUACCUGAGGAGGAAGCUCCGGCUAACUACGUGCCAGCAGCCGCGGUAAUACGUAGGGAGCGAGCGUUGUCCGGAAUUACUGGGUGUAAAGGGAGCGUAGGCGGGAUCGCAAGUCAGAUGUGAAAACUAUGGGCUUAACCCAUAAACUGCAUUUGAAACUGUGGUUCUUGAGUGAAGUAGAGGUAAGCGGAAUUCCUAGUGUAGCGGUGAAAUGCGUAGAUAUUAGGAGGAACAUCAGUGGCGAAGGCGGCUUACUGGGCUUUAACUGACGCUGAGGCUCGAAAGCGUGGGGAGCAAACAGGAUUAGAUACCCUGGUAGUCCACGCCGUAAACGAUGAUUACUAGGUGUGGGGGGACUGACCCCUUCCGUGCCGCAGUUAACACAAUAAGUAAUCCACCUGGGGAGUACGGCCGCAAGGUUGAAACUCAAAGGAAUUGACGGGGGCCCGCACAAGCAGUGGAGUAUGUGGAUUAAUUCGAAGCAACGCGAAGAACCUUACCAGGUCUUGACAUCGUAUGCAUAGCUCAGAGAUGAGUGAAAUCUCUUCGGAGACAUAUAGACAGGUGGUGCAUGGUUGUCGUCAGCUCGUGUCGUGAGAUGUUGGGUUAAGUCCCGCAACGAGCGCAACCCUUACUGUUAGUUGCUACGCAAGAGCACUCUAGCAGGACUGCCGUUGACAAAACGGAGGAAGGUGGGGAUGACGUCAAAUCAUCAUGCCCCUUAUGACCUGGGCCUCACACGUACUACAAUGGCUGUCAACAGAGGGAAGCAAAGCCGCGAGGUGGAGCAAACCCCUAAAAGCAGUCUUAGUUCGGAUUGUAGGCUGCAACCCGCCUACAUGAAGUCGGAAUUGCUAGUAAUCGCAGAUCAGCAUGCUGCGGUGAAUACGUUCCCGGGCCUUGUACACACCGCCCGUCACGCCAUGGGAGUCGGUAACACCCGAAGCCUGUAGUCUAACCGCAAGGAGGACGCAGUCGAAGGUGGGAUUGAUGACUGGGGUG
rnacentral:rRNA from 1 species